UACGAAGGUGGCAAGCGUUGUUCGGAUUUACUGGGCGUACAGGGAGCGUAGGCGGUUGGGUAAGCCCUCCGUGAAAUCUCCGGGCCUAACCCGGAAAGUGCGGAGGGGACUGCUCGGCUAGAGGAUGGGAGAGGAGCGCGGAAUUCCCGGUGUAGCGGUGAAAUGUGUAGAGAUCGGGAGGAAGGCCGGUGGCGAAGGCGGCGCUCUGGAACAUUUCUGACGCUGAGGCUCGAAAGCGUGGGGAGCAAACAGG
rnacentral:rRNA from 1 species